rnacentral:rRNA from 1 species
AUUGAACGCUGGCGGCAGGCCUAACACAUGCCAGUCGAGCGGAUGAAGGGAGCUUGCUCCUGGAUUCAGCGGCGGACGGGUGAGUAAUGCCUAGGAAUCUGCCCGGUAGUGGGGGAUAACGUCCGGAAACGGGCGCUAAUACCGCAUACGUCCUGAGGGAGAAAGUGGGGGAUCUUCGGACCUCACGCUAUCAGAUGAGCCUAGGUCGGAUUAGCUAGUUGGUGGGGUAAAGGCCUACCAAGGCGACGAUCCGUAACUGGUCUGAGAGGAUGAUCAGUCACACUGGAACUGAGACACGGUCCAGACUCCUACGGGAGGCAGCAGUGGGGAAUAUUGGACAAUGGGCGAAAGCCUGAUCCAGCCAUGCCGCGUGUGUGAAGAAGGUCUUCGGAUUGUAAAGCACUUUAAGUUGGGAGGAAGGGCAGUAAGUUAAUACCUUGCUGUUUUGACGUUACCAACAGAAUAAGCACCGGCUAACUUCGUG